UACAGAGGGUGCGAGCGUUAAUCGGAGUUACUGGGCGUAAAGGGCGCGUAGGCGGUUAUUUAAGUGAGAUGUGAAAUCCCUGGGCUUAACCUAGGAACUGCAUCUGUGACUGCAUAGCUAGAGUACGGUAGAGGGGGAUGGAAUUCCGCGUGUAGCAGUGAAAUGCGUAGAUAUGCGGAGGAACACCGAUGGCGAAGGCAGCACUCUGGGACGUGACUGACGCUGAGACGCGAAAGCGUGGGGAGCAAACAGG
rnacentral:rRNA from 1 species